GACGAACGCUGGCGGCGUGCUUAACACAUGCAAGUCGAACGGGAUGAUUUAGAAGCUUGCUUUUAGAGAAUCUAGUGGCAAACGGGUGAGUAACACGUAGACAACCUGCCGACAGGAUGGGGACAACAUUCCGAAAGGAAUGCUAAUACCGAAUGAAACGGAGGAGAGGCAUCUCUCCUCCGUGAAAGAUGGCCUCUAUUUAUAAGCUAUCACCUGUCGAUGGGUCUGCGUCUGAUUAGCUAGUUGGUGAGGUAACGGCUCACCAAGGCGACGAUCAGUAGCCGGUCUGAGAGGAUGAACGGCCACAUUGGGACUGAGACACGGCCCAGACUCCUACGGGAGGCAGCAGUGGGGAAUCUUCCGCAAUGGGCGCAAGCCUGACGGAGCAACGCCGCGUGAGUGAAGAAGGUCUUCGGAUCGUAAAGCUCUGUUGACGGGGACGAACGUGCGAGAGGUGAAUAAUCUCU
rnacentral:rRNA from 1 species